rnacentral:lncRNA from 1 species
GGCUGAAGGAGGUAUGUUUGUACCUUGGAAAUUUAAAAUGCUGUUAUGUAGUUAUCUUCAUCAGAUUAUCUGAGGGAAAUUGUCAAAUGAAUAGAAAUACCAUUUUAGAAUUUAGACAUGGUCAUUGAAAUUUUUGUUGUUGUUUUUUUUUUUUUAGUAAACCUCAAGGUAUUGUUUAAAACCAGUGUGUCUAUGUCAAAUAGAUGACAGAUAGGGGAUCAUGUUGUAAGCAUAACAUUCCAGCUCUGUGUUGACACUAUUGAGAAUAAACCACAAAUGGCUCAACAGGGGUGAACUGUUCUAGAUGACCAAAAGGCAAGCAUUUUAUGGAAGGCAGUGGUAGAAUAUUUCAGUUCAGUGGUGAGAGUACAAUGAGAAGGGAGAGCUGCUGUUUAAGAAGAAUAAUGUAUUGGAAAUGUUAACGAUACUGCAUGGAUGAAACAAAAGAUUGUGUUUAGAAGCAGAUUUGUAGGAGGUGACACUUAUUUUGGGAACUGUUCUGAUGAAAGGAAGUAUCUUGAAAUCUACAGAAAAAAAGCUGGACACAGGAAAUAUCUAAAGCUUCAACUUAUGCUAAGCUGCUACAAAACUCCUUAG